rnacentral:rRNA from 1 species
UACGUAGGGUGCAAGCGUUAAUCGGAAUUACUGGGCGUAAAGCGUGCGCAGGCGGUUUUGUAAGUCUGUCGUGAAAGCCCCGGGCUUAACCUGGGAAUUGCGAUGGAGACUGCAAGGCUUGAAUCUGGCAGAGGGGGUAGAAUUCCACGUGUAGCAGGUGAAAUGCGUAGAGAUGUGGAGGAACACCGAUGGUGAAGGGCAGCCCCCUGGGUCAAGAUUGACGCGCUCAUGCACGAAAGCGUGGGGAGCAAACAGG